UCCCUGGAGGUCUGGUGGUUAGGACUUGGCGCUUUCACUGCUUCGGCCCAAGUUCAAUCCCUGGUCUGGGAA
rnacentral:tRNA from 1 species